rnacentral:rRNA from 5 species
UGCGACCUCAGGUCAG